UCAAAAGCUCAUCAUUGACAAGCCUAUGUGUUUCUUUAUUAUGUAUUUAUUAUUUGUUAUUUACAAUCUACACUAGGUCAGGAGAUGAAAUUGGGCCUCCUGCAGUCUGGCUGGCUUUCCAAUGUGGUCCACAAACCAGGGACCAAUUUCAAGAAGAACCUCAAAAGAGUGGACAGGGCAAAGAAGACGUAUAAAACAGGCAAGCACCAGAAAGUAUUUGUGUCCACCAUACCUUAUUGCACUGCAUAAUUUUCUAAGACUGCUUCUCAAAACCUCCCCAAGCAGUUGAACAAAACUUAACAUGAAAUGAAUACAUUUUCAUUGUUCUGUAGCUCAACCUUGGUGCUAUUUUUUUCUCCCCAUCUACCUAUCUCCCAAUACCCUCUUCAGCAUUGUUGGGUUUUCAUCUCACACAAAGUGUAUCUAAAGGCACAGCAUUAUAAUCAGUAUUGUUGUUUGAAAUGAAAACCUUAAGAUAAGAGAAAUAAAAGACUGUAUGAAUUCAGUUUUCAAUACUGCAUGUUCUGAUUUUUUUUAAAGAAUGACUUCUAGAAAAAAAAUAAAAGCAACCUAUGACCA